CGGAUUGAUACUAAGCCAUGCGAGUUUUUGUAGCAAUACAAGGCAUACGGCUCAGUAACACGUAGUCAAUCUAACCUAUGGACNNNGAUAACCUCGGGAAACUGAGAAUAAUACUCGAUAGAUCAUUAUGCCUGNAACGGUUUAUGGUUAAAAUGAAUUUCGCCAUAGGAUGGGACUGCGGUCUAUCAGCUNGUUGGUGAUGUAAUGGACCACCAAGGCUAUAACAGAUACGGGCUCUGAGAGGAGAAGCCCGGAGAUGGGUACUGAAACACGGACCCAGGCCCUAUGGGGCGCAGCAGGCGAGAAAACUUUGCAAUGUGCGAAAGCACGACAAGGUUAAUCCGAGUGAUUCCUGCUAAAGGAAUCUUUUGUUAGUCGUAAAACCACUAAUGAAUAAGGGGUGGGCAAGUUCUGGUGUCAGCCGCCGCGGUAAAACCAGCACCUCAAGUGGUCAGGAUGAUUAUUGGGCCUAAAGCAUCCGUAGCCGGCUCUGUUAGUUUUCGGUUAAAUCCAUAUGCUCAACAUAUGGGCCGCCGGGAAUACUACAAAGCUAGGGAGUGGGAGAGGUAGACGGUACUCCGUAGGAAGGGGUAAAAUCCUUUGAUCUAUGGAUGACCACCUGUGGCGAAGGCGGUCUACCAGAACACGUCC
rnacentral:rRNA from 1 species